GUGCUCGCUUUGGCAGCACAUAAACUAAACUUGGAACGAUACAGAGAGGAUUAGCAUGGCCCCUGCACAAGGAUGACAUGCAAAUUCAUGAAGUGUUUCAUAUUUAA
rnacentral:snRNA from 1 species